CCCUACGGGGCGCAGCAGUGGGGGAUAUUGCACAAUGGGGGAAACCCUGAUGCAGCGAAGCCGCGUGAGUGAAGAAGUAUUUCGGUAUGUAAAGCUCUAUCAGCAGGGAAGAAAAAAGACGGUACCUGACUAAGAAGCCCCGGCUAACUACGUGCCAGCAGCCGCGGUAAUACGUAGGGGGCAAGCGUUAUCCGGAUUUACUGGGUGUAAAGGGAGAGUAGACGGGCCUGCAAGCCAGGUGUGAAAG
rnacentral:rRNA from 1 species